rnacentral:rRNA from 1 species
AGAGUUUGAUUAUGGCUCAGGAUGAACGCUAGCUACAGGCUUAACACAUGCAAGUCGAGGGGCAGCAUUAUCGAAGCUUGCUUGAUAGAUGGCGACCGGCGCACGGGUGAGUAACGCGUAUCCAACCUUCCCUAUAGUAGAGAAUAGCCCGGCGAAAGUCGGAUUAAUGCUCUAUGUUGUAUUUAGAGGGCAUCUGAAGAAUACCAAAGGUUUACCGCUAUAGGAUGGGGAUGCGUCUGAUUAGGUAGUAGGCGGGGUAACGGCCCACCUAGCCGACGAUCAGUAGGGGUUCUGAGAGGAAGGUCCCCCACAUUGGAACUGAGACACGGUCCAAACUCCUACGGGAGGCAGCAGUGAGGAAUAUUGGUCAAUGGACGGAAGUCUGAACCAGCCAAGUUAAGCGUGCAGGAUGACGGCCCUAUGGGUUGUAAACUGCUUUUAUAUAGGGAUAAAGUCGGGGACGUGUCCCCGUUUGUAGGUACUAUAUGAAUAAGGACCGGCUAAUUCCGUGCCAGCCGCCGC